rnacentral:tRNA from 1 species
GGCGAAAUAGUUUAAUGAAAAUAAUAGAUUGUGGUUCUAUAGACAGAGAGUUGCUUUUCGUCA